rnacentral:rRNA from 1 species
UACAGAGGUCUCAAGCGUUGUUCGGAUUCAUUGGGCGUAAAGGGCGCGUAGGCUGCGGGGCAAGUCGGGUGUGAAAUCUCAGAGCUCAACUCUGAAACUGCACUCGAUACUGCUUUGCUCGAGGACUGGAGAGGAGAUUGGAAUUCACGGUGUAGCAGUGAAAUGCGUAGAUAUCGUGAGGAAGACCAGUGGCGAAGGCGGAUCUCUGGACAGUUCCUGGACGCUGAGGCGCGAAGGCCAGGGGAGCAAACGGG